rnacentral:misc_RNA from 1 species
AGAGAAGAACAGGGAAAAAUAGAAAUCAACCAGGCUCUGAUACAAUGAAGAAAAAAAAGAGAAAAAGAAGAGAAAGAAACAAAAGAGAAAUCCAGAGAAAUGUUUUCUCUUGUUUUUAUCAUUCUUUCAAGCUGAUGGGAGAUUUAUACUGAUAAGUUACAACAGAAAUAGAAACAUAAUCAAUCCCUAUAAUCAAUGCUCUAUUCUAGUCUCUACACAAUCUUAGCCCAAUUUUCAACCUACCGAAUUUAUAGUAUUCACACUAAUAUUUCAGCAUCCUCCAUCAAUAGGAAAAGAUCAAUAAACAAACAAAAAAAAAAAUUUGUAUUGCU